rnacentral:rRNA from 1 species
CACGAACGCUGGCGGCAGGCUUAACACAUGCAAGUCGAGCGCCCCGCAAGGGGAGCGGCAGACGGGUGAGUAACGCGUGGGAAUCUACCCAUCUCUACGGAAUAACGCAUGGAAACGUGUGCUAAUACCGUAUACGUCCUUCGGGAGAAAGAUUUAUCGGAGAUGGAUGAGCCCGCGUUGGAUUAGCUAGUUGGUGGGGUAAAGGCCUACCAAGGCGACGAUCCAUAGCUGGUCUGAGAGGAUGAUCAGCCACACUGGGACUGAGACACGGCCCAGACUCCUACGGGAGGCAGCAGUGGGGAAGAUUGGACAAUGGGCGCAAGCCUGAUCCAGCCAUGCCGCGUGAGUGAUGAAGGCCCUAGGGUUGUAAAGCGCUUUCACCGGUGAAGAUAAUGACGGUAACCGGAGAAGAAGCCCCGGCUAACUUCGUGCCAGCCGCCGCAGUAAUAC